rnacentral:rRNA from 1 species
UACGGAGGGUGCAAGCGUUAUCCGGAUUCACUGGGUUUAAAGGGUGCGUAGGUGGAUUAGUAAGUCAGUGGUGAAAUCUCCGGGCUUAACCCGGAAACUGCCAUUGAUACUAUUAGUCUUGAAUACCGUGGAGGUCAGCGGAAUAUGUCAUGUAGCGGUGAAAUGCUUAGAUAUGACAUAGAACACCAAUUGCGAAGGCAGCUGGCUACACGAGCAUUGACACUCAGGCACGAAAGCGUGGGGAUCAAACAGGG